GUCCAACUACGUCGACGCGGCGGAGGAGAUCAAAUUCGACCACCACCACAACCAACACCAACACCACCACCAACAUCACCACCACCACCACGCCCAGGGCUCGUCGCCGCGCUCCUUCCGCCGCACCCUCUCCUCCAACUCCUCCGCCUGCGGCGACGGCGCCGCAGCCGCCGCCGCGGCGCCGCCGAAGUGCGUCUGCGCCCCGGCGACCCACGCCGGGUCCUUCAAGUGCCGCCUCCACCGCGCCGCCUCCCACCACUCCCCUCCUUCCCCCGUCGCCGCCGCCGCCCCCUCGAUCCGUCCCCCGCCCCCUGCGGUAUCCUCCUCCGCC
rnacentral:lncRNA from 1 species